UCUGCCCGUUAACGCGGUGCGGUUUCGGGUGAACCUCAAAGCGAAAUUCGUGUUCCGACUUGCAUACAAUUGCUAUGCAGUCACGGCCCAUGAGUGUAACUUGUCUUCGGGGAUGCAGAAAACAUCGAGGGUAAGGGGUCUUUGACCUCUCUAUUUGCCUCAAAUCGGCAUUAAACGCCCCAUUCGAUUGACUUUCAGUGUCGCACAGACAUUUCCGUCUUGCGACCUAAUGUCACCGAGGAAUGCUACCUGGUUGAUCCUGCCAGUAGUCAUAUGCUUGUCUCAAAGAUUAAGCCAUGCAUGUGUAAGUA
rnacentral:misc_RNA from 1 species